rnacentral:rRNA from 1 species
GUCUACAGCCAUACCACCCUAAAUGCCCCCAUCUGGUCUGAUCUUGGAAGCUAAGCAGGGUCGGGCCUGGUUAGUACUUGGAUGGGAGAAAGAUCGUCAAAAGAGACUUCUCAGAGACAAGCAGUUUGGAGACA